AUAGAUUCUGUCACUAAGUUUAUCUAUAGAGAUCACGUGUCGUGUGUAUAUAUAGAUUCUGUCACUAAGUUUAUCUAUAGAGAUGCACGUGUACGUGUGUAUAUAUAGAUUCUGUCACUAAGUUUAUCUAUAGAGAUGCACGUGUACGUGUUGUAUAUAUAGAUUCUGUCACUAAGUUUAUCUAUAGAGAUGCACGUGUACGUGUGUAUAUAUAGAUUCUGUCACUAAGUUUAUCUAUAGAGAUGCACGUGUACGUGUGUAUAUAUAGAUUCUGUCACUAAGUUUAUCUAUAGAGAUGCACGUGUACGUGUGUAUAUAUAGAUUCUGUCACUAAGUUUAUCUAUAGAGAUGCACGUGUAUGUGUAUAUAUAGAUUCUGUCACUAAGUUUAUCUAUAGAGAUGCACGUGUACGUGUGUAUAUAUAGAUUCUGUCACUAAGUUUAUCUAGAGAUGCACGUGUACGUGUGUAUAUAUAGAUUCUGUCACUAAGUUUAUCUAUAGAGAUGCACGUGUACGUGUGUAUAUAUAGAUUCUGUCACUA
rnacentral:lncRNA from 1 species